UACGUAGGGUGCAAGCGUUGUCCGGAAUUAUUGGGCGUAAAGAGCUCGUAGGCGGUUUGUUGCGUCGGCUGUGAAAUCCCGAGGCUCAACCUCGGGUCUGCAGUCGAUACGAGCAAACUAGAGUGUUGCAGGGGAGACUGGAAUUCUUGGUGUAGCGGUGAAAUGCGCAGAUAUCAGGAGGAACACCGGUGGCGAAGGCGGGUCUCUGGGCCGUAACUGACGCUGAGGAGCGAAAGCAUGGGUAGCGAACAGG
rnacentral:rRNA from 1 species